AUGCUUGAUUUGCUGGCACAUCUACUAAAAUUGGAAUGAUAGAUGAUUAGCCUGCUCCUUGCACAGGGGUAACAUACAAAUUCAUGAAGUGUUUCAUAUUUUU